UGGUGUAGCUCAAUUGGCAGAGCAGCUGAUUUGUAAUCAGCAGGUUGAUGGUUCGAUUCCUUUCACC
rnacentral:tRNA from 1 species